GUCGGGAAUUUUGGGCAACGGGCGAAAGCCUGACCCAGCAACGCCGCGUGAGGGAUGAAGUAUUUCGGUAUGUAAACCUCGAAAGAAUGGGAAGAAUAAAUGACGGUACCAUUUAUAAGCUCCGGCUAACUACGUGCCAGCAGCCGCGGUAAUACGUAGGGAGCAAGCGUUGUUCGGAUUUACUGGGCGUAAAGGGCGCGUAGGCGGCGCGGUAAGUCACUUGUGAAAUCUCUGAGCUUAACUCAGAACGGCCAAGUGAUACUGCUGUGCUAGAGUGCGGAAGAGGCAACCGGAAUUCUUGGUGUAGCGGUGAAAUGCGUAGAUAUCAAGAGGAACACCUGAGGCGAAGGCGGGUUGCUGGGCCGACACUGACGCUGAUGCGCGAAAGCCAGGGGAGCAAACG
rnacentral:rRNA from 1 species